AGAAGCAGAGCUCUGAGCAAGGAGAAGCCAGACUGCUCUGCCCCUCCUGCCAUGGGCUGCAGCCCCGUCUGCUGUGUGGCUCUUUGUCUCCUGGCAGCAGGCCUUGUGGAUGCUGGAGUUACCCAAACCCCAAGAUACCUGAUUAAAGCAAGAGGACAGCGAGUGACACUGCGAUGCUCCCCUGUCUCUGGACACCACUCUUUGUACUGGUACCAACAGGCCCUGGGCCAGGGCACCCUGAUUCCUCAUUGAAUAUUUCAGACAGGAAGUGAGGGGAGAAGCACAGCUCCCAGAUCGAUUCUCAGCAAAACAGUUCAGUGACUCUCGCUCUGAGCUGAACUUGAGCUCCUUGGAGCUGACGGACUCAGCCGUGUAUCUCUGUGCCAGCAGCCAAGACACAGCCCUGCAUGAUCAGGUGCCUGUGGAACAAAAACUCUCCUACCGCAGCUCAGGAGGUGUGGUGAGGAUGACUGCCUGCCUUCCAGGCCUAGAUAGAUCCGAUACCCUCUCCCAGACAUUCUUCCUCUGCUGUGUUUUAAUGCUCCCAAAGAUCAUCCUAGGUAAGUAUUAUUUCCCUGUUUAUACAUCUGAGUGGAACUGAGUUGCCCACGUCUCAUAUUUCAUUCCUUUCACGGCAAGGUAUUUGGUUCAAGUCUGUCCUCAUCUCUUGUGAUCUUUGCCCCCCAAAACUGUCCCCCACAAGAAUAAAUAAUAUACACAUAGACCAAAUACAUAGACACAUACAUGUUUUAAAGCAAUUGGCUCACACUGUUGUUAAGACUGGUAAGUCCAAAAGCUGCAGGCUGGUCUGGUGCUACUAGAGACUGAGGGGGAACUCAUGUUUAAGUUCAAAAGCAGAAGAACUAGUGACCCAGUGUGAAGGCCAUCAGCUGACAAUUAUCUCUUGCUUGGGGGAGGAUCAGUGUUCUUUUGUCUAUUCAUCUCUUCUUCUGGUUUCAUGAAGCCCACCUACCUUAUGGAGGGUCAUCUGCUUUACCAAUUAAAAUGCUAAUCUAAUCUAUUAUUAAAAUUUACCUAUUGACA